AUUGAACGCUGGCGGCAGGCUUAACACAUGCAAGUCGAGCGGAGAUGAGGUGCUUGCACCUUAUCUUAGCGGCGGACGGGUGAGUAAUGCUUAGGAAUCUGCCUAUUAGUGGGGGACAACAUUCCGAAAGGAAUGCUAAUACCGCAUACGUCCUACGGGAGAAAGCAGGGGAUCUUCGGACCUUGCGCUAAUAGAUGAGCCUAAGUCGGAUUAGCUAGUUGGUGGGGUAAAGGCCUACCAAGGCGACGAUCUGUAGCGGGUCUGGGAGGAUGAUCCGGCACACUGGGACUGAGACACGGCCCAGACUCCUACGGGAGGCAGCAGUGGGGAAUAUUGGACAAUGGGGGGAACCCUGAUCCAGCCAUGCCGCGUGUGUGAAGAAGGCCUUAUGGUUGUAAAGCACUUUAAGCGAGGAGGAGGCUACUGAGACUAAUACUCUUGGAUAGUGGACGUUACUCGCAGAAUAAGCACCGGCUAACUCUGUGCCAGCCGCCGCGGUAACAC
rnacentral:rRNA from 1 species